rnacentral:rRNA from 1 species
UACGGGGGGGGUAAGCGUUGCUCGGAAUUACUGGGCGUAAAGGGCUCGUAGGCGGCCAACUAAGUCAGACGUGAAAUCCCUCAGCUUAACUGGGGAACUGCGUCUGAUACUGGAUGGCUUGGAUUCGGGAGAGGAAUGCGGAAUUCCAGGUGUAGCGGUGAAAUGCGUAGAUAUCUGGAGGAACACCGGUGGCGAAGGCGGCAUUCUGGACCGAUAUUGACGCUGAGGAGCGAAAGCCAGGGGAGCAAACGGG